rnacentral:rRNA from 1 species
GACGAACGCUGGCGGCGUGCCUAAUACAUGCAAGUUGAGCGCUGAAGGUUGGUACUUGUACCAACUGGAUGAGCAGCGAACGGGUGAGUAACGCGUGGGGAAUCUGCCUUUGAGCGGGGGACAACAUGUGGAAACGAAUGCUAAUACCGCAUAAAAACUUUAAACACAAGUUUUAAGGUUGAAAGAUGCAAUUGCAUCACUCAAAGAUGAUCCCGCGUUGUAUUAGCUAGUUGGUGAGGUAAAGGCUCACCAAGGCGAUGAUACAUAGCCGACCUGAGAGGGUGAUCGGCCACAUUGGGACUGAGACACGGCCCAAACGCCUUCGGGAGGCAGCAGUAGGGAAUCUUCGGCAAUGGACGAAAGUCUGACCGAGCAACGCCGCGUGAGUGAAGAAGGUUUUCGGAUCGUAAAACUCUGUUGGUAGAGAAGAACGUUGGUGAGAGUGGAAAGCUCAUCAAGUGACGGUAACUACUCAGAAAGGGACGGCUAACUACGUG